GACCAUCUCUAUUGGGAGUA
rnacentral:snRNA from 1 species